rnacentral:lncRNA from 1 species
AGUGAGCUGCCUCUCUGCGAUUGGUUUUGCCCGAGUUUUAUUUUUGUCUGUCUCAGCUAGAAAGUGGGAGACUUUCAUUUAAAAUGGAAAUUGGGGCGAGGGGUUGGCGGCUGGGCGAAGGGAGCAUUCAAAAGCGGAGAAUGUCACUUUACCCGAGAAAUUCACUACGAUGGGCCAUUGGUUUCUGCUCGGCUCGCAGGCGCACUGCACGAGUGGAGGUGUGGCUAGUGGCUGUGAUGAGAUAAAUCCAUGCAUAGCCUUUUCAUUGCGAGCUUGAAAGUUCUUUUCUAUUACAGUUUUAGCUUUAGGUUUAAUUGGUUCGACUGCCUUCUCCACAAUUUGGGCGAGAAUUUCCUUUGCCUUCUCAGCAAAAGUUGUUCUGCGGACCCGUCUGGGUCAACUUUCAUGAGGGACAUUGAGACAAACAAAUGAAAUAUGGGUUAAAGUACUCUGAGCAGCUACAAAAAGAAGACCAGUCUAUCCUGCUGGAGACAGUGGCCACGUGAAGAAAGAGCUCUUGCAGUAUGAAAGACCACAUGGAAAGAGAGGCCACAUGGAACCAACAGUCAGCAUCUUGGUUUCGGACACGUGAAGAAAUUCAUCUCAGACUGUGUAUCCUAAAUCAGGCACUUGCUGAAUCUAACUACAUGAGUGAGACCAGUUGACAACACAUGGAGCAGACAUGAGCUGUUCUCAGUGAGUCCUACACAAAUUCCUGACUCACAACACUGUGAGCAAUAAAAUGGUUGUUAUUUUAAGCCACUGAAGUUUGCAGUGAUUUCUUACAUAGGAAUAGAUAAAUGAAACACAAACAUUGAUCAUUUGCAUCUUCUAUCUUUUUUAUGACUAGUCUUAUUGGAAAUUACCAGUUUAUUUCUGCCAUGGUUAGAAAACAAACUCUGAAAUUUUGAUACUUUAAAAUUUUUUUGAGACUUACUGUGCCCAGAAUAUAGUCUAUCUUGGUGAAUGUUCUGUGAGCACUAGACAAGAAUAUGUAUUCUGUAGUUAUUGAGCAUUGUGUCCAUCAAUGUCAACGUGAUUAAGGUGGUUAAUAGUUGUCUUCAGAUCUUCUAUAUUGUAUUGAUUGUUUUAUGUGUAGUGUUGCUAUUAAUUAUUGAUACAGGAGUGUAAAACUUAAACUAUGGCUGUGAAUUUGCCACUUACUUUAGUUUUGUCAGCUUUUCUUUUGCAUUUUUGAAGCUCUGUUAUUGGGCAUAUAAACAUUUAUGGUUCGUGUGUCUUCCUGAUGAAUUGACCAUUUUAUCAUUAUGAAAUGUCUUUAUUGCUGAUAAUACUCCUUAUCUUGAAGUCUAAUUCAUCCGAUAUUAGUAUAGCCACUGCAGCCUUCCUAGCUUACUGUUUACUGGUAUAUUUUUAUCCAUGUUUUUACUUUCAACCUGUGUUUUUUAAUUUAAUGUGCUUCUCUUAUAGACAACAGAUAGUUGAGUUUGUCUAUCAUUUUGCUAUUUGUUUUCGAUUUGUCCCAUUCAGUUUUGUGUUCCUUUGUUCUUUACUUCCUGCUUUCUUUUGGGUUAAUUAAUGUUUUUAUAUUUCAUCUUAAUUCCUCUGUUGGCUUUAACUGUAUCUUUUUGCAUUAUUGCUUUACAGUGUUUCUGAGAAUUAUGAUAUACAUUCUUAACUUAUCACAGCCUUAGAGUUAAAAUUAUGAUACUUCAUGUAAAAUAAAAGAGCCUUGCAAUAGUAAAGUUCUACUUACCACCUCCCCAAGUCCUUUGUGCUUUGUUGUCAUAUAUAUCAUAUCUAUGCACAUUGUUAUUUUUGCCUUAGUCAUAUGUAUCGCAAAGAAAUUAAGAGAAGAAAAGUAUAUAUUACCUUUUGUGUAUUUACCUACAUUUUGCUAUUUCCAGUUCUUUUCAUUCCUUCCUGUUUGUGGUGAAUUAUCUUUAAGAAUAGCUGUCAAAAAGUAUUCACAUUCUUGUAUGUGCAUGUUGCUUCUCCCUUUAAGAAAUAGAAUCAGCUGGGCAUGGUGGCUCACGUCUGUAAUCCCAGCAAUUUGGGAGGUCAAGGCAGGUGGAUCACAAGGUCAGGAGUUCAAGACCAACCUGAACAACAUGGUGAAACCCUGUCUCUACUGAAAAUACAAAAAAAAAAAAAAAAAAAAAAUUUAGCUGGGCGUGGUGGCACAUACCUGUAAUCCCAGCUACUCAGGAGGCUGAGGCAGGAGAAUCACUUGAACUUGAGAAGCGGAGGUUGCAGGGAGCCAAGAUUGCACCAUUGCACUCCAGCCUGGGUGACAGAGCGAGACUCUGUCUCAAAAAAAAAAAAAAGAAAUAAGAAAUAAAGUCUGUGUUCCCACCCCUUGAAUCUGGGCUGGUCUUUUAACUUUGAUGAACAAAACAUGGUGAAAAUGAUGUCAUACCAAUUCUAGGCCUAGCCCCUAAGAAGCCAUACACCUUUACUUUUAUCCUCUAGAAAGCUGGCCAACAAAUAAGUAAGUUUAGGGUAGAUUACUAAAGAAUGAAAAACAUUUCAGCCAACCAUCCCAACCAUUUCAGCCACACAGCUGAACUACCAGACAUGUGAAUGAAGCUAGUUUGGAAGUUCCAGCCCUGGCUAAGCAUCCAGCUGAAUGCAGCCACCUGAGUGACCCCAGCCAAUAAUAUCCAGAGCAGGAGAAUCAUCCAGUUCUCAGUGUCUCCUCUAGAAUGCAGUUUCAAUCUUCCAACCACAGCUUGGGAGGCUGUUCCAGCCUUGCUGACUUUUAGUAAGAAGAAAACA